rnacentral:rRNA from 1 species
AUACGAGGGGUGCAAGCGUUGUUCGGAAUUACUGGGCGUAAAGGGAGCGUAGGCGGAGAUUCAAGCGGAUUGUACAAUCCCGGGGCCCAACCCCGGCUCUGCAGUCCGAACUGGAUCUCUUGGAUAGUUCAGGGGCAGGCGGAAUUCCUGGUGUAGCGGUGGAAUGCGUAGAGAUCAGGAAGAACACCGAUGGCGAAGGCAGCCUGCUGGGGACUUAUCGACGCUGAGGCUCGAGAGUGCGGGUAGCAAACAGGAUUAGAUACCCUGGUAGUCCGCACCGUAAACGAUGCAUACUGGGUGUCCGGGGGUUCCCCCGGGUACCGUAGCCAACGCGUUAAGUAUGCCGCCUGGGGAGUACGUACGCAAGUAUGAAACUCAAAGGAAUUGACGGGG